rnacentral:lncRNA from 1 species
GGUUAAUAUUUAUUUCAUGAAUGGAUGAAUAAGCCUUAAAUUCAUCGCCUCCUUCUUACAUUAUUAAAGUCAGCCUCCUGGGCAAUAAGACCUAAAAAUACAACCAAAAGGAGGGAAACUGGAGAUAUCGCCACAGACAUUCCUUUUGGUUCGGCAUCCACAUGGCAAACACAAUCUCCAGAACGGUGCAGUGAUGGCAUUGGAUGUGCCAGCCAGUCUUCCCUGUGAAUUAGAUCACAAGAAGGACAAGAACAGCAACAAGAAGAGGAAAAAGAACAAGAAGUGGGGGAAGGAAGAAGAAUAAAAGAAAAAGGAAGGAAGGAGGGAAGGGGAGAAGGAAGGAAGCAAGGAAGAAAGGAGAGAGAGAAGGAAGGAAGGAUAUGAAGGCCAAUCUUGCAGAAACUGAGAAAACAUGGCUGGCAAAUCAAUAACCUCUGGUCUGGGGAUCAAGAUAAUUCAAGAAGAAGAAGAGAGUGUGUGUGUUUUCCUCCAUAAGUUUCCUAAGCAAUUGUAUCAGUCUAUCCCCACUUAUAGGUACUUUGCAAUGGUGUCCUUUCAUAAUCAGAGAGUCACAGCCCCACGUGUGCCUUCGGGAGUUCUAACGCUGCUGUUGGCCACAAGUGGGACCCGGAGCAAUUCGUGUACAUUUUCAGGAUCUCAAUUUUCCCAUCUUUAAAAUAAAAGAAGGUCCUUGAUCAUUAGAAAAGGGGGAAAGGAGGAGGAUUAUUAGUCUCAGAACUCAAUGGAAAAAUAAAACUUAAUGAAAAGAUGGUAUAAGAACCUUUCUGCUCUAAACUUCCAUGAGUUUAUGUCCACGUUUAUAUAUUGGCUUGAGCAUGAUCUACUGUUAAUGAUUAUGUGCCACCCUUAAUGGGACAAGAUGUACUUUCGACACUGCCCUUCCA